rnacentral:antisense_RNA from 1 species
UGUGGGAGCUGGCUUGCCUGCGAUAUCGGUGGGUCAGUUGACGCAGUUUCAACGGUUAGAUAGCUAUCGCAGGCAAGCCAGCUCCCACA